GUUAUAAACCGAGUAAGAGGUUUAUAACUGAUAUAUUGACCCGAGGACGCGUAGCGUCCGAGGGGCAAUAUAUCAGUUAUAAACCGACUUACUCGGUUUAUAAC